rnacentral:rRNA from 2 species
AACGACUCUCGGCAACGGAUAUCUCGGCUCUCGCAUCGAUGAAGAACGUAGCGAAAUGCGAUACUUGGUGUGAAUUGCAGAAUCCCGUGAACCAUCGAGUCUUUGAACGCAAGUUGCGCCCGAAGCCUUUUGGCCGAGGGCACGUCUGCCUGGGUGUCACGCAACGUC